GGGUGAUCUGCCCUGCACUUUGGGAUAAGCCUGGGAAACUGGGUCUAAUACCGAAUAUGAUCAUGCUCUUCAUGGGGUGUGGUGGAAAGCUUUUGCGGUGUGGGAUGGGCCCGCGGCCUAUCAGCUUGUUGGUGGGGUAAUGGCCUACCAAGGCGACGACGGGUAGCCGGCCUGAGAGGGUGUCCGGCCACACUGGGACUGAGAUACGGCCCAGACUCCUACGGGAGGCAGCAGUGGGGAAUAUUGCACAAUGGGCGCAAGCCUGAUGCAGCGACGCCGCGUGAGGGAUGACGGCCUUCGGGUUGUAAACCUCUUUCAGCAUCGACGAAGCGCAAGUGACGGUAGAUGCAGAAGAAGCACCGGCCAACUACGUGCCAGCAGCCGCGGUAAUACGUAGGGUGCGAGCGUUGUCCGGAAUUACUGGGCGUAAAGAGCUCGUAGGUGGUUUGUCGCGUUGUCCGUGAAAACUCACAGCUUAACUGUGGGCGUGCGGGCGAUACGGGCAGACUGGAGUACUGCAGGGGAGACUGGAAUUCCUGGUGUAGCGGUGGAAUGCGCAGAUAUCAGGAGGAACACCGGUGGCGAAGGCGGGUCUCUGGGCAGUAACUGACGCUGAGGAGCGAAAGCGUGGGGAGCGAACAGGAUUAGAUACCCUGGUAGUCCACGCCGUAAACGGUGGGUACUAGGUGUGGGUUUCCUUCCUUGGGAUCCGUGCCGUAG
rnacentral:rRNA from 1 species